GAUGAACGCUGGCGGCGUGCCUAAUACAUGCAAGUCGAGCGAACAGACGAGGAUCUUGCUCCUUUGACAUUACCGGCGGACGGGUGAGUCACACGUGGCUAACCUACCUAUAAGACUGGGCUAACUUCGGGAAACCGGAGCAAAUACCGGAUACUAUAUUCAACCUCAUGGUUCAAUAGUGAAAGACGGUUUUGCUGUCACUUAUAUCUGGUUCGGCGGCGCAUUAGCUAGUUGGUAAGGUAACGGCUUACAAAGGCAGCGAUGCGUAGCCGACCUGAGGAGGUGAUCGGCCAGGCUGGAACGGAGGCACGGUCCAGAGGGCUACGAGAGGCAGCAGUUAGGAAUCCGCCGCGAUGGGGGGAAGCAUGACGGACAAACGGGGCGUGAGUGAUGAAGGUAUUCUGAUCGUAAGACGCUGUUUUUAGGGUAGAACAGUUGUGUAAGCAAGUAUGAACGUAGUGACGGUACCUGCUCAGAAAGCCACGGCUAACUACGUG
rnacentral:rRNA from 1 species